rnacentral:lncRNA from 1 species
GGAACUCUUCAGUUCCCCAAUAUGCCCCUAAGUCCUGAGCCCUCUAGCAGGGGAGGGCUGUUGGGUAAGCAUGUGCUGAGGGACUGGAAGUUUUACACAGGUGCUGGGGAAACAGCAGUCAGAUCACAUCGGCUUUCCCACAGAAAUGGCAUCCUCGGAGGGAGUCUGGAAGCUGUCCUGUAAAGAGGUAACUCACACAAGGCAGGGGAUGGUUAAGAGGGACACAUUAAUAACCUGGAGCAUCCUGGAGGAUGCCCUUUUUCUCUGAGGGCACCUUUGCCCUAGAGCAGGUGGUGAUGGUGGCAGUGUUGGCAGGACAAGAUUCUGCACUGUGCAGCUUUGCUGAAGGAACCUGGGGACUCUGGUCCUAGUGUUAACCUCUUCAUUCUGUGUUUGCUGUAUCCUAACUUUGUGUUUGCUUUUGUUUCCUUUUUUUUUUUAAUUUAAAGAUUUUUUUGUUUUGUUUUGUGUUUUUAAUAGAUGAGGGUUACUACCAGGGUGGAAAAUUUCAGUUUGAAACUGAAGUUCCUGAUGCCUACAACAUGGUGCCUCCCAAGGUGAAAUGCUUGACUAAAAUCUGGCACCCCAACAUCACAGAAACAGGGGAAAUAUGCCUAAGUUUACUAAGAGAACAUUCAAUUGAUGGCACUGGCUGGGCUCCCACUAGAACGUUAAAGG